AGUCGAACGGCAGCGCGGGGCAACCUGGCGGCGAGUGGCGAACGGGUGAGUAAUAUAUCGGAACGUACCCUGGAGUGGGGGAUAACGUAGCGAAAGUUACGCUAAUACCGCAUACGAUCUAAGGAUGAAAGUGGGGGAUUCGCAAGAACCUCAUGCUCCUGGAGCGGCCGAUAUCUGAUUAGCUAGUUGGUGGGGUAAAGGCUCACCAAGGCUUCGAUCAGUAGCUGGUCUGAGAGGACGACCAGCCACACUGGAACUGAGACACGGUCCAGACUCCUACGGGAGGCAGCAGUGGGGAAUUUUGGACAAUGGGCGCAAGCCUGAUCCAGCAAUGCCGCGUGAGUGAAGAAGGCCUUCGGGUUGUAAAGCUCUUUUGUCAGGGAAGAAACGGUGAAGGCUAAUAUCCUUUGCUAAUGACGGUACCUGAAGAAUAAGCACCGGCUAACUACGUGCCAGCAGCCGCGGUAAUACGUAGGGUGCAAGCGUUAAUCGGAAUUACUAGGCGUAAAGCGUGCGCAGGCGGUUUUGUAAGUUUGUCGUGAAAGCCCCGGGCUCAACCUGGGAAUUGCGAUGAAGACUGCAAGGCUUGAAUCUGGCAGAGGGGGGUAGAAUUCCACGUGUAGCAGUGAAAUGCGUAGAGAUGUGGAGGAACACCGAUGGCGAAGGCAGCCCCCUGGGUCAAGAUUGACGCUCAUGCACGAAAGCGUGGGGAGCAAACAGGAUUAGAUACCCUGGUAGUCCACGCCCUAAACGAUGUCUACUAGUUGUCGGGUUUUAAUUAACUUGGUAACGCAGCUAACGCGUGAAGUAGACCGCCUGGGGAGUACGGUCGCAAGAUUAAAACUCAAAGGAAUUGAC
rnacentral:rRNA from 1 species